rnacentral:lncRNA from 1 species
GAAAAGGCCCCAAGAUGGGAUCUCACAGGUAUAGAAGGUUGCAGCGGUGGAAAUAGGGUUUUGGCUCCGUAUCUAAUGGUUUGGGGGUACGUAGGUAUAUAUAGGAGGAAGAAGUAGGUCGGUGGAGCUACGAGGGGCCCACAAGGGUUGAGGGCGCGCCCCCUGCCUCGUGGCCUCCUCGUUGAUUGCUUGACGUCCACUCCAAGUCCUCUGGAUCACGUUUGUUCAGAAAAUCACGUUCCCGAGGGUUUCAUUCCGUUUGGACUCCGUUUGAUAUUCCUUUCCUUCGAAACACUGAAAUAGGCAAAAAAACAACAAUUUGGGUUGGGCCUCCGGUUAAUAGGUUAGUCCCAAAAAUAAUAUAAAAGUGUAUAAUAAAGCCCAUUAAACAUCCAAAACAGAAUAUAUAAUAGCAUGGAACAAUCAAAUAAUAUAGAUACGUUGGAGACGUAUCAAGCAUCCCCAAGCUUAAUUCCUGCUCGUCCUCGAGUAGGUAAAUGAUAAAAACAGAAUUUUUGAUGUGGAAUGCUACUUAGCAUAAUUUUCAAUGUAAUUCUCUUAUUUGUGGUAUGAAUAUUCAGAUCCAAAAGAUUCAAGAUAAAAGUUUAAUAUUGACACAAAAGUAAUAAUACUUCAAGCAUACUAAUAAAGCAAUCAUGUCUUCUCAAAAUAACAUGGCCAAAGAAAGUUAUCCCUACAAAAUCAUAUAGUCUGGCUAUGCUCUAUCUUCACCACACAAAAUAUUUCAAUCAUGCACAACCCCGAUGACAAGCCAAGCAAUUGUUUCAUACUUUUGGUGUUCUCAAACUUUUUCAAUCUUCACGCAAUACAUGAGCGUGAGCCAUGGAUAUAGCACUAUUGGUGGAAUAGAAUGGUGGUUGUGGAGAAAACAAAAAAGGAGAAGAUAGUCUCACAUCAACUAGGCAUAUCAACGGGUUAUGGAGAUGCCCAUUAAUAGAUAUUAAUGUGAGUGAGUAGGGAUUGCCAUGCAACAGAUGCACUAUAGCUAUAAGUGUAUGAAAGCUCAAUAAUGAAAACUAAGUGGGUGUGCAUCCAACUUGCUUGCUCAUGAAGACCUAGGGCAAUUUGAGGAAGCCCAUCAUUGGAAUAUACAAGCCAAGUUCUAUAAUGAAAAAUUCCCACUAGUAUAUAAAAGUGAUAUCAUAGGAGACUCUCUAUCAUGAAGAUCAUGGUGCUACUUUGAAGCACAAGUGUGGAAAAAGGAUAGUAACAUUGUCCCUUCUCCCUUUUCUCUCAUUUUUUUGGUUGGGCCUUUUCUCUUUUUUUUAUGGCCUCUUUUUUUUAUUUAGUCCGGAGUCUCAUCCCGACUUGUGGGGGAAUCAUAGUCUCCAUCAUCCUUUCCUCACUUGGGACAAUGCUCUAAUAAUGAUGAUCCUCACACUUUUAUUUACUUACAACUCAAGCAUUACAACUCGAUACUUAGAACAAAAUAUGACUCUAUAUGAAUGCCUCCGGCGGUGUACCGGGAUAUGAAAUGAAUCAAGAGUGACAUGUAUCAAGAUAAUGAAUGGUAGCUUUGCCACAAAUACGAUGUCAACUACAUGAUCAUGCAAAGCAAUAUGACAAUGAUGGAGCGUGUCAUAGUAAACGGAAUGGUGGUACGUUGCAUGGCAAUAUAUCUCAGAAUGGCUAUGGAAAUGCCAUGAUAGGUAGGUAUGGUGGCUGUUUUGAGGAAGGUAUAUGGUGGGUGUAUGAUACCGGCGAAAUGUGCGCGGUAUUAGAGAGGCUAGCAAUGGUGGAAGGGUAAGAGUGCAUAUAAUCCAUGGACUCAACAUUAGUCAUAAAGAACUCAUAUACUUGUUGAAAAAUCUAUUAGUUAUCAAAACAAAGUAUUACGCGCAUGCUCCUAGGGGGAUAGAUUGGUAGGAAAAGACCAUCGCUCGUCCCCGACCGCCACUCAUAAGGAAGACAAACAAUAAAUAAAUCAUGCUCCGACUUCAUCACAUAACGGUUCACCAUACAUGCAUGCUACGGGAAUCACAAACUUUAACACAAGUAUUUCUCAAAUUCAUGACCACUCAACUAACAUGACUCUAAUAUAACCAUCUUCAUAUCUCAAAACAAUUAUCAAGCAUCAAACUUCUCUUAGUAUUCAACACACUUAUAAGAAAGUUUUUACUAAUCUUGGAUGCCUAUCACAUUAGGACUAAUUUCACAAUUAAAGCAAAUUACCAUGCUGUUUUGUAGGACUCUCAAAAUAAUAUAAGUGAAGUAUGAGAGAACAAUAGUUUCUAUAAAACAAACCACCGCCGUGCUCUAAAAGAUAUAAGUGAAGCACUAGAGCAAAAACUAUAUAGCUCAAAACAUAUAAAUGAAGCACAUAGAGUAUUCUAAUAAAUUCCGAAUCAUGUGUGUCUAUCUCAAAAGGUGUGUACAGCAAGGAUGAUUGUGGUAAACUAAAAUCAAAGACUCAAAUCAUACAAGACGCUCCAAGCAAAACACUUAUCAUGUGGUGAAUAAAAACAUAGCUCCAAGUAAAGUUACCGAUGGACGAAGGCGAAAGAGGGGAUGCCUUCCGGGGCAUCCCCAAGCUUUGGCUUUUUGGUGUCCUUAGAUUUACCUUGGGGUGCCUUGGGCAUCCCCAAGCUUAGGCUCUUGCCACUCCUUGUUCCAUAAUCCAUCAAAUCUUUACCCAAAACUUGAAAAAAUUCACAACACAAAUCUUAACAGAAAAUCUCGUGAGCUCCGUUAGCGAAAGAAAACAAAACACCACUUCAAGGUACUGUAUUGAACUCAUUCUUUAUUUAUAUUGGUUUUAAACUUACUGUAUUCCAACUUCUCUAUGGUUAUAAACUAUUUUACUAGCCAUAGAUUCAUCAAAAUAAGCAAACAACACACGAAAAACAGAACAGUCUAUAGUAAUCUGUAACUAACGCAAACUUCUGGAACUCAGAAAACUCUACCAAAAUAGGAAGACCUAGAUAAUUUGUUUAUUGAUCUACAGCAAUUGGAAUCAGUAUUUUAUCACGUUCUGGUGAUUUUAAACAAUUGUUUUCGUGAACAGAAAGUUUCUGGAAUUUUCAGCAAGAUCAAAUAACUAUCAUCCAAGAAGAUCCUAUAGGUCUAACUUGGCACAAACACUAAUUAAAACAUAAAACCACAUCUAAACAGAAGCUAGAUCAAAGAUUUAUUACUAAACAGAAGCAAAAAGCAAAAAACAAAAAUAAAAAAUUGGGUUGCCUCCCAACAAGCACUAGCGUUUAACGCCCUUAGCUAGGCAUAAAAACAAGGAUAGAUCUAGGUAUUGCCAUCUUUGGUAGGAAAUUCUUCUAUAAGACACCUAUAACCCCUAGGAGUUUCUUCCUUUUUAUUAAUUAUCAAACUUCUAGGCACGAAAUCGAGAAAAUCAUUUGUAGCAAACGGUUCCUUAAUGAUAGCAAAAAGAUUAGGAUGAACACUUAUUGAUUUUAGAUCCGCAGUUUCCUUACUAGAGGAUUCACCCUUAUUUUUAGGAACAUACAUAAGCUUGGCAAUUUUGGUAGGAGGAUUUGGAUUAUUCUUUACGGAAGAAAAGGCGGUCCCCAAGUUGGUAAUGAUACCCUCAAGCUUAUCGAUUCUAGUGGAAUCUUGAUCUAUUCUUUAUGGGUUCCUUUUCUUUAAAACUUUUCAACGUGACUCCUACCUUACAUCCAUAUUGGGCAAUUUGGUUGUGGAUCUUUUUAUCCAAAUUCUCAAUCAACUCUACGAUAGCAACUUUAUUUUCAAUAAUUUCAAGUCUUUGCAUCACAUGCUCCAACGUUAACAUAGUUCCAUUAACCAAAAGAGGUGGAGAGCCAAACAAAUCUGUCAUAGCAUUAUAAGAAUCAAAAGUAUGGCUACCCAAGAAAUUCCCUCCGGUAAUGGUAUCAAGAAUAUACCUAUUCCAAGGAGUGACGCCUACAUAAAAGUUGCGAAGAAGGACGGAAGUAGAUUGCUUUCUAGUAGAUUUAUUUUGAGCGUUGCAAAUUCUAAACCAAGCAUCUUUCAAAUUUUCUCCCUCCCUUUGUUUAAAAUUGAUAGCUUCAUUCUCGGGAGACAAAGGAGUAGAUAAAGGACUAGCCAUAACAACGAGGCAAGCAAAAAAAGCGAAUGGAAAGAGAGGGCGAAUAAAACGGCAAGGGUGAAGUGGGGGGAGGAAAACGAGAGGCAAAUGGCAAAUAAUGUAAUGCGAGGGAUAAGAGUUUGUGAUGGGUACUUGGUAUGUCUUGACUUGUGCGUAGACUCCCCGGCAACGGCGCCAAAAAUCCUUCUUGCUACCUCUUGAGCACUGCGUUGGUUUUCCCUUGAAGAGGAAAGGGUGAUGCAGUAAAGUAGCGUAAGUAUUUCCCUCAGUUUUUGAGAACCAAGGUAUCAAUCCAGUGAAAGACCACGCUCGAGUCCCACGCACCUACACAAACAAAUAAGAACCUCGCAACCAAUGCGAUAAAGGGGUUGUCAAUCCCUUCACGGUCACUUACGAGAGUGAGAUCUGAUAGAGAUGAUAAGAUAAUAUUUUUGGUAAUUUUAUGGUAAAGAAUAAAAGUAAAGAAAGCAAAAUAAACGGCGCGAGAAAUAGCUAGUUGUUGGGAGAUUAAUAUGAUGGAAAAUAGACCCGGGGGCCAUAGGUUUCACUAGUGGCUUCUCUCAAGAUAGCAUAAAUAUUACGGUGGGUGAACAAAUUACUAUCGAGCAAUUGAUAGAAUUGAGCAUAAUUACGAGAAUAUCUAGGUAUGAUCAUGUAUAUAGGCAUCGUCCGUGACAAGUAGACCGACUCCUGCCUGCAUCUACUACUAUUAGUCCACACAUCGACCGCUAUCCAGCAUGCAUCUAGAGUAUUAAGUUCAUAAGAACAGAGUAACGCUUUAAGCAAGAUGACAUGAUGUAGAGGGAUAAACUCAUGCAAUAUGAUAUAAACCCCAUUGUUCAUAGAUAAUCUUGAUCAUAAAUCCACAAUUCAUCGGAUCUCGACAAACACACCGCAAAAAGAAGAGUUACAUCAAAUAGAUCUCCAAGAGAAUCGAGAAGAACUUUGUAUUGAGAUCCAAAGAGAGAGAAGAAGCCAUCUAGCUAAUAACUAUGGACCCGGAGGUCUGAGGUAAACUACUCACACAUCAUCGGAGAGACUAUGGUGUUGAUGUAGAAGCCCUCUGUGAUCAAUGCCCCCUCCGGUGGAGCGCCGGAAAAGGCCCCAAGAUGGGAUCUCACAGGUACAGAAGGUUGCGGCGGUGGAAAUAGGGUUUUGGCUCCUUAUCUAAUGGUUUGGGGGUACAUAGGUAUAUAUAGGAGGAAGAAGUAGGUCGGUGGAGCUACGAGGGGCCCACGAGGGUGGAGGGCGCACCUAGGGGGGUAGGCACGCCCCUGCCUCGUGGCCUCCUCGUUGAUUGCUUGACGUCCACUCCAAGUCCUCUGGAUCAUGUUUGUUCAGAAAAUCGCGUUCCCGAAGGUUUCAUUCCGUUUGGACUCCGUUUGAUAUUCCUUUCCUUCGAAACACUGAAAUAGGCAAAAAAA